GACGAGGCUGGCCUUGAACUUUACAGCAAUCUCCUGCAUCUAUUUCUGAAGUGCUGGCAUUAAAGGUGUGCUCAACCAUGCCUGCCUUUGGAUGGGUUUUUCUCAAGGAAAGAGUUCAUCGGUUGUCAGCCCGGUUCAUGCCGCAAAAUUUCUAAAACCUGUUUUAGAAUUUGUCUGAGUGGGAGUCUUGGCGGGGAAGGCGGAUGUAGGGUGAGUAUAUCUGCUUCCUGACAGCAACCUGGGCACCAAGACGCACAUGCAGAUGAAGCAUUCAGAACAAUGGGCCACUUCCAAAUGGCUGAAAAUAAAAUGCAAGCUGAGUAGUGAGUGAAGCUGCAGGGGAGAGACAGAGGAGGAAUCACAGGCCUGCCAAGCUAUAUUUAUUUUGUAAAGAAUGGAUUUGUAUUAGUUAGAUUGGGAGGCACACACAUACAUGUGUGCAUGCAAAGAUGUACAUAAAAGGCUUUUAAAAUCAGACACUUGCUUUAUGUUUUUAAAAGGUAAGGGGAUAAGUUGUUUAGGAUUUGAUGCAGAUUUUGCUGUCAUGGAAGAUCCAGGUUCCUUCACUACCCUCUCAUCCCUAGGGUGUGGUGUGGCCUUUCUCCAGCCAUUGUGUCCUCAUAUCCAAGUGGACAGCCACACAGUUUCUACUUCAUUCUUCUAGAAAACAAAGGCACCAAUUUCAAAGCUCUUUUCCUCUUUGGUCCCUGAGUCCUCCACUUCAUUUGAGGAGAGCAAUGCCAUGAGCCCUGGGUGGAGGUGUGGGAGGCCAGGAUGUGAGGAGCAUACUUCAGAAAACAACAGAGAAAUGCACUAAAUGUCAGAGAGGGCAGCUUUGACAGAGUUGGCUUCACAGCAGCUGGAGACAUUGGUGAAGGUGCACCUUCAGUUUUGUAGAGCAGAACCCUGGUAACGUAGAAGCCCCCUUCUUCACAGCCUCCUUUCCCCUCAUGACAGGCUCACUCAUGGUGGAGUAGACGACGCAGAAGUUAGCUGGCCCUGAACCGAUGGGACAUACAUAGAGAAGGCUUUCCGGAAACUUGAAGAGAGCCGUGUCUUGUGCUUGCCCCUACUAUGUCCUUGACCCAAAUACAUACCUUAAGGUCAGCACCCAGGAUGACAGCUGUGGACAGCAUCUUGGUGUUCCUGGAAAAUGUCCGAGAUUUGUACUUGUUUGCACCUCAGUUCUUCCCUGCUAACUCUGUGCUUUUGUUUACUGGGAUCCUAAUUGCUUGGGGCCCAGUGUCCUCUACUUGCCCCUUGGUCUUACAGGCUUCACGUCUCAGUGUUCGCUUUAGAACCUUGGUUCAUGUUCUCUUGUCCGGAUUGAACCUCUUUCACUUGCCUAGUCAAACAGCCCUGGCCAAGCCUCUCCCAUGUGCAUCCAAAGUGCCCCCAAACCUCUAGGCUUGGGCACCCCUCCCUAAGGAAAGCCUGGUCAUGAGGUGAUAAAGUAACACACAGCUGGAGCAGCUGGCAAGCGUCUUACGUUUUUCAGAUGAGAAAGAUGUCAGAGAUGGAGGAAAGAUGGAGAAAACUGAUGUGGGAGGUCACUGGGGGCAACGGAGAAGACAAGGAGUCAGCAACAGCCAAGCCACCCCUGCCACUACCAAAGGGUUUCUCUGUAUUGCUUUGGAGGUUGUCCUGGAACUCGCUCUAAUUCACAGAGAUCUGCCUGCCUCUGCAGUGCUGGGAUUAAAGGCAUGUGCCACCAACGCCCGGCCUGUGCAACUUUUUAGGAUUUUUUUCUUUUUAAGACAAUGUCUUAUUCUAGCCCAGAUUGCCCUGAAAUUCACUGUGUAGCCUAAGCUGGCCUCAAAAUUGAAGCAAUUCUCCUGCCUCCAUCUCCUAAUCCUGGGAUUAUAGGUGGGAGCCACCACACCCACCUCAGUAACUAUUUAGUUUAAAAGGACACAAUAACUAUAAUUUAAUUUAUUAUUUUUUUCCUCAUUUUUCUAGUGUUCAUAGCAUUCUACUGUGAUUGGGCAUUUAGACUUUCU
ensembl:lncRNA